AAAACAUGUUUUAAUUGAAUCAGGCCAAUUUCAAGAAAUACAGAUAGAUUUUAUUUUCGAGGGGAUUAGGAUGAUUUUAAAUAAUAAUUAUUUUUGUUCGAGGGAGACUUCUAUCUUCAGAUCAGAGGGAAUGCUAUGGGGACCAAGUUCGCACCGAUUUAUGCCAAUUUAUUCACGGCAUUUUGGGAAAAACAAUUUGUUUAUGGUGGCCAUGAAUUCGGUGCGCACUUGGUCCUCUAUAAGAGAUAUAUAGAUGAUAUCUUCCUGAUCUGGAAGGGACCUAUUCAACAAUUUUCAGC